GGAUUGUGGCUCAGUGGUAGAGCACUUGCCUAGCACGUGUGAGGCACUGGGUUCAAUCCUCAGCACCA
rnacentral:tRNA from 1 species